rnacentral:snRNA from 1 species
UUCCCUUAGUAACGGCGAGCGAA